CGGACGGGCGGGCGUCAGUGGGAACGGGCGGGCGGACGGGUGGUCGGGCGGGUAGGGAGUCGGAGCAACGCUUGAAAGACGCGCAGAUAGAUGUCAGAUUCUCCCGUAGGGAGGUCUGGCAAGGUGUUAGUUUAGGCGGCGGAGUUGUACGCGGGCCAGUCUGUGUUACAGCUUUGCCGUCAGGGUAGCUCCUUACGAGCUGCCCAAACUGAGGACCAGUUUUCCUCACAGGAGGAGGCUGGUGGGGCCUAGGGUGUUAGGGGUACAACGGUUGGCUCUUUCACAGAACGGGUGUUUUCCGUUCUGCGUUUGAGUCUGCCGCCUUUGGGCGUCUCCCUCUGAGAUGUCGGUUAGGAUUUCUUUUUUUUAUAUGUCCGUGUGUGUAACUGUUGCCUUUUAGCCUGUUGUGUUCCUGAGCAGCAAGAAGAGGCGGCUGUGGUGACCCGCCCGAUGCGGAAGGCUUCUGGGCCCUGUCGGCGGGGGCGCACCUCUCUGGCUGACUGGUUGACCAGGCUUUGACCAGGUGGCCGGGGAGGCGCAUCCUCGCUGGGCGGGGUCUGGGGGCCCUCCGUCUUGGGGAGGUCGCUGCAGCAGGAGGAGGUAACUACUGCUGGUUUUGUAAGGCAUUGUGGUUGAGAGCACCUUGCAGCUGUAACGUGAAUUUCGUUCCGUAAUAAACAAUGUACCGCCGUGCUGCCUGUCCUUCCUCCCUCCCAGCACUGUGUACGUCUGUGUGUGUGUGUUGCUUAAUUCUCCCUCACUGCACUGUGUGUACGUCUGUGUGUGUGUGUUGCUCUGUCUCUCUCUCUCAAUCUCUCUCUCUGUCUCUGUCUCUCUCUGUCUGUCUCUCUAUCUCUCAAUCUCUCUGUGUCUUUCUCUCUCUCUAGUUAGUAAAGAACGGGCAGCGUUUGCCAUGGAAGACUCUACAGUAUACAUAAGAGUCUACAGUGUACAUCCCAACCCUCUAUGGCCGUUGCUGCUCCACCCGGGCAUUACCACAUCCACCCGGGUCUACAAGAAACCUCCACGGCCGAGCCUCAACCACAGAACACACCGCUACCGUUGAUGAGGUUCCACGCCCCGGACUACCGCCAUGUUAGCCUCGAUAAUAGUCCUCGGCGCACUUGUUCUGAGACGUCCUGACUGGAGAGCUACACAACACUGGUCAUCCGCUGAGUGGUUGAAUUCCUGGUCUACCGGCCCCUGGAGGAGUGGUCGAUUGCCUGGUCUACUGUGGAUAUGAGUGGUUGAUUCCCUGGUCUACCCCUGGAUGACGCGGCUGUUCCUAUGCAGGGGAAGACUCACACAAGCGAUAAGCACCUGUCUGACCUGGAGACUACCCCCUGAGCCUGACGGUGGAGCUGUGGGCCCUGCACCAGACCCCCCCCCCCCCCCACACCACCCACAGCAGGGGCAGGGCAUUGAGACUCCCCCCACAGGCUAAGACAGGGAAGGACUUGAAGAUCCAGGUUUUUGUCAUCUGCACAGGAAUUGACACUAUAGACAAUAAUUGACAAUAUAGUUUCCUUUUUUGUGUGUGCCCUUGAGCUGUCUCCUUUGUUGUAGAAAAAAAAUACUUGACAAGGCUUUCAUAGGUGUUUGGGGCAUUUCCAGGGGUAGUUUAAUGACCCUGGUGGUAGUCUGACCCUUCCUCUGCGCAAUGAACUUUAAAAAAACGCUCAUAAAAAUGCAGAUAUUAACCCAGUAGCAGCGGGGAUCAUGUUUCUUAAUGGUCCCUCCAAGCGAGAAAAAUGAGAAAAAAUCGCCCCUCACACAAACCAUUUCAUAUAUAUCAAAGCAUUUGCGAUCAGAUUAUGUAUCAUCUAUUUUUUGGGGUUUAUAUCAUGGCACAAAUUUGGCCUGUCGCUGCUACACGGUAAAGCCACAAAUUUGGCCCAUCACUGCUACCGGGUUAACCUCAUUAUCGUGUUAAAAUCCCUGUAUCUCACUGUUAUCUUCCUCUCCCUCUAUAUUAUUUGUCAAUCUCUCUCUUUCUCUCUCUCCCACAGAUGUCUAAGGUUCUGCCCAUGCAGCUGAAGGGUGCCAAUGCCUACAAAUGCAUCGACCACAGGUGUGCGCUGGACAUUGCCUACAAUUCAUGGUUCAAAUGGGAGCGUCGGCGGAGAUCGAGCUGGCUGAAGGUUGGCGGCCGGGUCAAGCUCGCAACGGACAAGGAGUUCUGUGAGAUGUGCUCGGCCGAUGUUGCUGACCUCGGCCACAUCAAUGUUACUAAGGUGGCGGAGGUGUGGGACUACAUCUACAUUGACGACGGACUCAAGGAGAUCGCCGAGACUACUACUAUUACUAUUACCAUUACUACACUAUACUACUAUGUGUACUAUUAAAUCCUCUAUACAGCUACCAUGUGUACUAUUGAAUCCCUUAUAUAGUACUUUCAUGACAGCUGAUACUACUACUACUACUACUAUGACCACUCAAUCCCUGGUAAGUACAAUGUCAUUAUCAUCAUUAUUUAGGUUAAGGUCCAUUAAAUUCAAUCUUCCUGAGCGGUUGGACGCUUUAUGGCUCUCCUCCAUUCUACUCUGUCUUCCGCCCAAUGCUUAUACGGUCCUAUCAAUCCCAAGUCUUCCUGUACACACCUUCUCCAUGUUUUCCUAGGUCUACCAACUGGUCUCCUUCCUUCUACCUCCAUUCUGCUCUGUCUUCUGCCCAAUGCUCAUCCAAUCCCAUCACUGCUAAGUCUUCCUGUACACACCUUCUCCAUGUUUUCCUAGGUCUACCAACUGGUCUCCUUCCUUCUACCUCCAAUCUCUCCAACACUCCCAGCACUGUAUCCUCCCCUGCUCUCUUUACAUGUCCAAACCAUUGGAGUCUUUCCCUUCUGAGCACUGUUUCCAGGUCCUCUACUAAAACUCCCAGCACUGUGUCCUCCCCUGCUCUCUUUACAUGUCUCUGCCAAAUAUUUCCCUCUCCCUGCCUCUGUCCCUGCCAAAUCACUCUCUCCCUGCCUGUGUCCCUGCCAUAUCUCUCCCUCCCUGCCAAAUCUAGCCUCUCCUCCUUACCUAACCUACCUUACCCUACCCUAAGCUGCCCUAACCUCCCUGUCUCUCUCUCCACCAGGUUGACAAGCCACCACCAAGCUGGGUUUUUUCAGCCGCCGCCGAGUGGCUUAAAACUACCCACAUGCUGUCCAGAAGACCACCUAUCAACCCGGACUCUAGAUUCUAGGAUUAAAGAUGAGCUCCAGGAGG